rnacentral:piRNA from 1 species
UGAGUGCCAAAUUUCUAGAUGCUGUCAAGG